AACGAACGCUGCCGGCGUGCUUAACUCAUGCACGUCGCACGGAGUGGCGAACGUGUGAGUCACACGUGGGUGAUCUGCCCUGCACUUCGGGAUAAGCUUCGGACCCUGGGUCUAAUACCGGAUUUUGCAAGAUGAGCCCGCGGCCUAUCAGCAUGUUGGGGGGGUAAUGGCUUACCAAGGCGCCGAUGGGUAGCCGGCCUGAGAGGGUGUACGGCCAGAUUGGGACUGAGAUACGGUCCAGACUCCUACGGGAGGCAGCAGUGAGGAAUAUUGCAGAAUGGGCGGAAGCCUGAUGCAGCAACGCCGGGUGGGUGAUGAAGGCCGUCGUGUUGGAGGCUCCGUACGUCAGGUACGCGGUACCUGUAAAGGAAACGCCGGCUGACUACGUACCGGCAGCCGCGGUAAUAC
rnacentral:rRNA from 1 species